UGGGGGAGAGCAGGAGCUCAGUUUGGGGCAUGUCAAGAAUGAGAUGCCUUAUUAAACAUUCGAGCCAAGACACUGAACAGAGCUGAGUCUGGAGUUCACAGAGAGCCAAGCUGGGGACAUGGAUUUGCAAUCAAUCAGUGCACAGAUGGCAUCAGUUCCACGGGACUGAGAGUUCACCAGCGUAGCGAGAACAGCCAAAACCAAACCAAACCAAAACGUUCUCCACAGGUCCCAGGAGUGAGCCAGAGACUUUAAGCUGAAAGGUCAGCCAUCCAAGGAGGGAUCAGGAAGGGGAAGAGGAGGAACAGCAACGAGGGAGGGAGGACCGCCGGAAGGGAGGAGGGAGAGACAUGAAGGCUGCACAUACACAGAAAAAAAAAAAAACCCAACAACAUGUGGGGACACGGAGAAGGCAUAGCCUGAGGAGAAACCAGCCAUGCCAACACCUUGAUCUCAGACUUCUAACCUCCAAAACUGUGAGAAAACGAACGCCUAUUGUUAAGUUGCCCAGCCUGUGGUAUUUUGUUACGGAAGCCUGAGCAAACUAACACAGCCUGGCAUUUUUGCUCUGAAGUUUACAGGAUUGAUUGGAAUUUAUGGGAAUAGAUUUAUAGUUGCACAACUCAAUGCUAUGCAGGGAUUUUCUCCAGCGUGAUUCCUUUGGUGAAACAGUGGCCCCCACUUCCUACUGUCUGCCCAAACCCAAGCCAGCGAAAGUGUCCAUUCACCCAUCCAUUCAGU
rnacentral:lncRNA from 1 species